UACGUAGGGUGCAAGCGUUGUCCGGAAUUAUUGGGCGUAAAGAGCUCGUAGGCGGUCUGUUGCGUCGGCUGUGAAAACCCGGGGCUCAACUCCGGGCCUGCAGCCGAUACGGGCAGACUAGAGUUCGGCAGGGGAGACUGGAAUUCGUGGUGUAGCGGUGAAAUGCGCAGAUAUCAGGAGGAACACCGGUGGCGAAGGCGGGUCUCUGGGCCGAUACUGACGCUGAGGAGCGAAAGCGUGGGGAGCGAACAGG
rnacentral:rRNA from 1 species